rnacentral:rRNA from 1 species
UACGGGGGGGGCAAGCGUUGUUCGGAAUUACUGGGCGUAAAGGGUUUGUAGGUGGCUUGUUAAGUCAGACGUGAAAUCCCUCAGCUUAACUGGGGAACUGCGUCUGAGACUGGUGAGCUUGAGUGCAGGAGAGGAACGCGGAAUUCCAGGUGUAGCGGUGAAAUGCGUAGAUAUCUGGAGGAACACCGGUGGCGAAGGCGGCCUUCUGGACAGUGACUGACGCUGAGACGCGAAAGCGUGGGGAGCAAACAGG